UACUGGGAUUGCAGGCAUGAGCCACCGUG
rnacentral:piRNA from 1 species